rnacentral:rRNA from 1 species
AUACGGAGGAUCCGAGCGUUAUCCGGAUUUAUUGGGUUUAAAGGGUGCGCAGGCGGCCAUUUAAGUCAGCGGUUAAAUCGUGGGGCUCAACCCCAUUCUGCCGUUGAUACUGGGUGGCUUGAUUGCGGUCGAGGUUGGCGGAAUUCGUCGUGUAGCGGUGAAAUGCAUAGAUAUGACGAAGAACACCGAUUGCGUAGGCAGCUGACCAGACCGCAAAUGACGCUCAUGCACGAAAGUGCGGGGAUCGAACAGGAUUAGAUACCCUGGUAGUCCGCACAGUAAACGAUGAUGACUAACCGUCGGCGAUAGACCGCCGGUGGCCAAGCGAAAGCGAUAAGUCAUCCACCUGGGGAGUACGACCGCAAGGUUGAAACUCAAAUGAAUUGACGGGG